GUGCUUGCUCACUCGGCAGCACAGACACUAAAAUUGGAACCACACAGCGAAGAUUACCAUGGCCCUGUGCAAGGGUGACCCGCAAAUUCGAGAAGCAUUCCCUAUUUUG
ensembl:snRNA U6 U6 spliceosomal RNA